rnacentral:rRNA from 1 species
AGAGUUUGAUCCUGGCUCAGGAUGAACGCUGGCGGCGUGCUUAACACAUGCAAGUAGAACGAACCUUCGGGUUAGUGGCGGACGGGUGAGUAACGCGUGGGAAUCUGCCCUCAGGAGGGGGAUAACGGCCGGAAACGGCCGCUAAUACCCCAUAUGCCGAGAGGUGAAAUGAAUUUCGCCUGAGGAUGAGCCCGCGUCUGAUUAGCUAGUUGGUGGGGUAAGAGCCCACCAAGGCGACGAUCAGUAGCUGGUCUGAGAGGAUGAUCAGCCACACUGGGACUGAGACACGGCCCAGACUCCUACGGGAGGCAGCAGUGGGGAAUUUUCCGCAAUGGGCGAAAGCCUGACGGAGCAAUGCCGCGUGAGGGAUGAAGGCCUCUGGGCUGUAAACCUCUUUUCUCAAGGAAGAAGACAUGACGGUACUUGAGGAAUAAGCCACGGCUAAGUCCGUGCCAGCCGCCGCGGUAAUUC